rnacentral:rRNA from 1 species
CAGGAUGAACGCUAGCGACAGGCCUAACACAUGCAAGUCAGGGGCAGCACAAGGAGCAAUCUGAGGUGGCGACCGGCGCACGGGUGAGUAACACGUAUGCAACCUGCCUGUAAGCGGGGAAUAACCCGUUGAAAGACGGACUAAUACCGCAUAAUACUAAAUUACUGCAUGGUAAUUUAUUUAAACAUUUAUGGCUUACAGAUGGGCAUGCGCAUGAUUAGCUAGUUGGAGAGGUAACGGCUCCCCAAGGCAACGAUCAUUAGGGGUUCUGAGAGGAAGGUCCCCACACUGGUACUGAGACACGGACCAGACUCCUACGGGAGGCAGCAGUGAGGAAUAUUGGUCAAUGGACGAGAGUCUGAACCAGCCAAGUCGCGUGCAGGAAGAAUGUCCUAAUGGAUUGUAAACUGCUUUUGCAGGGGAAUAAAGUGCAUCACGUGUGAUGUUUUGUAUGUACUCUGCGAAUAAGGAUCGGCUAACUCCGUGCCAGCAGCUGC